rnacentral:rRNA from 1 species
CGAUUCGUGGCUCAGGACGAACGCUGGCGGCGUGCCUAACACAUGCAAGUCGAGCGGAGUUGACAAGAGGAAGUUUCGGAUGGAAUUUGUAAUUAGCGGCGGACGGGUGAGUAACGCGUGAGCGACCAACCUUGCACAGGGGGAUAACGGACCGAAAGGUUCACUAAUACCGCAUGAGACCACGGUGUUGCAUGACACAGGGGUCAAAGGAGCAAUCCGGUGCAAGACGGGCUCGCGUCCGAUUAGGUAGUUGGAGGGUAACGGCCCACCAAGCCUAUGAUCGGUAGCCGACCUGAGAGGGUGAUCGGCCACAUUGGAACUGAGAUACGGUCCAAACUCCUACGGGAGGCAGCAGUGGGGAAUAUUGGGCAAUGGGGGGAAACCCUGACCCAGCAACGCCGCGUGAAGGAAGAAGGUUUUCGGAUUGCAAACUUCUGUCCUUGGUGAAGAGAAGAAGACGGUAGCCAAGGAGGAAGCCCCGGCUAACUACGUGCCAGCCGCAGC